rnacentral:rRNA from 1 species
UACGUAGGGUGCGAGCGUUAAUCGGAAUUACUGGGCGUAAAGCGUGCGCAGGCGGUUCGUUAAGUCAGAUGUGAAAGCCCCGGGCUCAACCUGGGAACUGCAUUUGAAACUGGCGGGCUUGAGUGUGGCAGAGGGGGGUGGAAUUCCGCGUGUAGCAGUGAAAUGCGUAGAGAUGCGGAGGAGCACCGAUGGCGAAGGCAGCCCCCUGGGCUAGCACUGACGCUCAGGCACGAAAGCGUGGGGAGCAAACAGG